UAGGGAAUUUUCGGCAAUGGACGAAAGUCUGACCGAGCAACGCCGCGUGAGUGAAGAAGGUUUUCGGAUCGUAAAACUCUGUUGGUAGAGAAGAACGUUGGUGAGAGUGGAAAGCUCAUCAAGUGACGGUAACUACCCAGAAAGGGACGGCUAACUACGUGUCAG
rnacentral:rRNA from 1 species